rnacentral:lncRNA from 1 species
CGGCAGUAGGGAACCUCAGGUCCUCGGUUUUACACUGCAAACUAGCACUCAUUGCACUUGUUUAGCAGAACAAGAGACCUAAGCCAAUGACUCAGGCUCCUCCUCAGAUUCCAAUAACAUGACGUAGUAGGACUUGCCAUCACUGUAACAAAGAUAAUGAGGACCGACCAUGUUAUCGCCUCACCAAUAUUUGCCGUAU